UACGUAGGGAGCAAGCGUUAUCCGGAAUGAUUGGGCGUAAAGCGUCCGCAGGUGGCAGUUCAAGUCUGCUGUCAAAGACCGGGGCUUAACUUCGGAAAGGCAGUGGAAACUGAAGUGCUAGAGUGCAGUAGGGGUAGAGGGAAUUCCCGGUGUAGCGGUGAAAUGCGUAGAGAUCGGGAAGAACAUCGGUGGCGAAAGCGCUCUGCUGGACUGCAACUGACACUCAGGGACGAAAGCUAGGGGAGCGAAUGGG
rnacentral:rRNA from 1 species